AACUACAUGGCUUUUUGUGUAGCUUUUUCUGCUCAAUGGACUCUAAAUAGCCGCAGUACCCUGACUGUGCAAAGGUAGCAUAAUCAAUUGGCUUAUAAUUGAAGUCUGGUAUGAACGAAUUUACGGGCAGUAGCUGUCUUAAAAAGAAUUUAGUGAAUUUAACUAUCAAGUGCAAAUGCUUGAAAAUACAAAAAAGACGAGAAGACCCUAGAAACUUUCUAUUUUGUUGGGGCGACAGAAUUGCAAAAUAACCAAUUUUAUAGUACAUAACGUAUAGCAGUAAGAUGAAGUUACUCUAGGGAUAACAGCAUAAUUUAUUAUAGUUUGUGACCUCGAUGUUGGACUAGGGAAAAUAGUUUUUAGAAGAGACUAUAUUUUGCUCUGUUCGAGCAACAUUACCUACAU
rnacentral:rRNA from 1 species